AACGAACGCUGGCGGCAGGCCUAACACAUGCAAGUCGAGCGCGCCCUUCGGGGUGAGCGGCGGACGGGUGAGUAACGCGUGGGAACGUGCCCUUCUCUGCGGAAUAGCCUCGGGAAACUGAGAGUAAUACCGCAUACGCCCUUUGGGGGAAAGAUUUUUCGGAGAAGGAUCGGCCCGCGUUGGAUUAGGUAGUUGGUGGGGUAAUGGCCCACCAAGCCGACGAUCCAUAGCUGGUUUGAGAGGAUGAUCAGCCACACUGGGACUGAGACACGGCCCAGCCUCCUACGGGAGGCAGCAGUGGGGAAUCUUAGACAAUGGGGGCAACCCUGAUCUAGCCAUGCCGCGUGAGUGAUGAAGGCCUUAGGGUUGUAAAGCUCUUUCAGCUGGGAAGAUAAUGACGGUACCAGCAGAAGAAGCCCCGGCUAACUCCGUG
rnacentral:rRNA from 1 species